UACAGAGGUCCCAAGCGUUGUUCGGAUUCACUGGGCGUAAAGGGUGCGUAGGCGGUCGGGUAAGUCUGACGUGAAAUCUUCAAGCUCAACUUGGAACUGCGUCGGAUACUAUUCGGCUGGAGGAAUGGAGGGGAGACUGGAAUACUUGGUGUAGCAGUGAAAUGCGUAGAUAUCAAGUGGAACACCAGUGGCGAAGGCGAGUCUCUGGACAUUUCCUGACGCUGAGGCACGAAAGCCAGGGGAGCAAACGGG
rnacentral:rRNA from 1 species